rnacentral:misc_RNA from 1 species
AAGUCGUAACAAGGUAACCGUAGGUGAACCUGCGGUUGGAUCAUUACCAAAAUGCAAGAGCCUCUUGUGGGCUCUCUGAACUCUAUGCCCACUUGGAUCAUGGGAAAGUGAACGCUCUUUUUUAAGAGUCAGUACUGCUCAGAAGUCCCUUGGGCAUAGUGGUUUUCAGCACCUUUUGUGAACCAUUUCUGUCUCUGGUGGUGGGGUGUCGUAUCCUGGGUGAAUGGCAGUCAUGCCAGCCCCUCUGGAGCAUGCCUGUCAGUUGUGCUGCUUUGUCAGUGCAACCGUGGACAAGCCACCAAAACACCUUAAUAACAUUUAUAUCCAACAUUCUGUCUAAUGAUUGUAUCAUAUAAAUAUACAAACAACUUUUGGCAACGGAUCUCUUGGCUCUC